UAAAUAAAAAUACGUUUUUUAAGUUAAUAAAGCAUUAAAGGGAAACCUAAACAUUAAAAAAUAAGGGCGUAAAUUAUGAAAAGUUAUAAGGAAUAUUUUUUAAUAUUGAGAUUUAUAAAUUCCCGUAUAAUAGUAAACUAUUCUUUUUAUAUAAGAUUAUAUAAUAAUUAGCGAAUUGAAACAUCUUAGUAGCUAAUAAAAAAAUCAAUCGAGAGACUGUUAGUAGUGGCGAACGAAAAUAGUCUAUUUAGACUUUCAUAUUGCAUUUUAUAAUUUGAAACUACCAAAGAAGGUUGUAUAUAAUAUUAUUAUAAUUAAUAUUCUCAAGUCCUGUAAAAUAUUAAAAAUGUAUAAAUUAUUGAAUUAUUAAAAUUAGAUUUUAAUCUUGUUUAAAUAUUGGGGGACCACCCUCAAAGUCUAACAUAUUUUUAAUGCUUGAUAGUGAAAAAGUACUGUAAAGGAAUGGUGAAAUAGAAUUUGCGAAAUUGAAAAGAUAUUGAAAUUUAAUGCUGACAAUCAAUUGAAGCUUUUAUAAAGUUACAGUGUGCCUUUUGCAUAAUGAAUCAACGAAUUUAUUUUAGUGGCGAGCUUAAAUAGUUAUAUAUAUAGGCGUAAAGAAAUUAAGUUUAAACUUGCUAAAAAAGUCUCUAAAAUAAAACCCGAAACUAAGUGAUCUAAUCAUGAACAGGUUGAAUAUAUAGCGGUAACGCUUAUUGGAGGACCGAACUCGUGUAUGUAGAAAAAUACUGAGAUGAUUUGUGAUUAGGGGUGAAAGGCCAAUCAAACUUAGAGAUAGCUGGUUUUCUGCGAAAUCUAUUUAAGUAGAGCAUAUAAAAACUUAUUUGUGAGGUAGAGCACUUGUUAAAUAAAGGGGACGUAAAGUUUUACUGAAUUUAAUUAAACUCCGAAUACAUAAAUUAAUUUGUUUUAUAUAGACAGACUAUGAGUGCUAAGAUUCAUAGUCAAAAGGGAAACAGCCCAGAUUAUUAGUUAAGGUCCUAAAAAAUAUUUUAAGUGAAAAAAUAUUAAAAAAAUAAUGUAUACUAAUAGGUAAGCUUGGAAGCAGCUAUCCUUUUAAGAAAGCGUAAUAGCUCAUUAGUUAAAUUUUUUUAAUUUGAAAAUGUAUAGGGACUAAAAAUAUUUACCGAAACUAUAAAUUAUAAUUUCUUAAAAAUUAUAAUGGUAGCAGAACGUUCUGUAUGUUAGUGAAAAUUUAUAUUAAUAUAAAUUAGAAAUAUCAGAAUUGAUUAUGUUGAUAUGAGUAACGAAAACAAUGUUUAAAACAUUGUCAUCUUAUGUUUAAGGUUUGUAAAGAAAAGAUAAUCUUCUUUAUAUAGUUUAAAUCGGUCCCUAAGAGUUAUGUGUUAAUUUAUUUAAACGAAUGUCAUUCUUAAUGGGUAAAUAAAUUUUUUAUGUUAUUUUAUAUACGUGACAAACUUUUCCUAUUAUUAAUAAUUAUUUUUGGAUUAUUAAGAAUUAUUAGUAAUUUAUAAGUUUCAAGAAAAAGCGUAUAAUUAUUUUAAAACCGUACUUUAAACCGACACAGGUAAACAAAUUGAGAAAAUUAAGAUGUUUGAGUUAAUUGUAUUGAAGGAACUCGGCAAAAUUACUCCGUAACUUAGGGAUAAGGAGUGACUUAAAUUAGGUAACUAAUUUAUAGUUGUCACAAAAUCGAGAACAGCGACUGUUUAACAAAAACACAGGUCUCUGCUAAUUUGUAAAAAGAUGUAUAGAGACUGACGCCUGCCCGGUGCUGUAAGAGUAAAUUAUAAAAGUUUUAGCUUUUAUUCUAAUUCACAGUAAACGGCGGCUGUAAUUCUGACGGUCCAAAGGUAGCGAAAUUCCUUGGCAUUUGAUUGAUGUCCUGCAUGAAUGGCGUAACGACUGUUCUACUGUCUCCAAUACAAGCUCAGUGAAAUUGAAUUCUUCGUGAAGAUGCGAAGUUCUUAUGGCUAGACGGAAAGACCCCGUGCACCUUUACUAUAAUCAUACAUUAUAUUAAUAAUUUAUAUAUGCAGAAUAAGUGGUAAGUUUAUUAAAACUUUUACUAAAGUAUAUCGUUUAUAGACGUCAAUUGAGAUACCACUUUUAAAAAUUAUUUAAUAUUUAUUCUAUGUAAGACAUUGUAUGAUGGGUAGUUUGACUGGGGCGGUCGCCUCCUAAAAAGUAUCGGAGGCGUACUUAAGGUGAGUUUAUUUUAUAAAAAAUUAUAAAAUUAAAGCGUAAUAGUAUAUUGCUUGCUUGACUGUAAGAUUUACUAAUCAAACAGGGACGAAAGUCGGUUAUAGUGAUCCGAUGAUUUUGUGUGGAAUAGUCAUCGCUCAACGGAUAAAAGGUACGCCGGGGAUAACAGGCUAAUCACCCUCUAGAGACCCUAUCGACGGGGUGGUUUGGCACCUCGAUGUUGGAUUAUCACAUCCUGAAACUGAAAAAGGUUUCAAGGGUUUGACUGUUCGUCAAGUAACGUGGUACAUGAUCUGAGUUCAGAACGUCGUGAGACAGUUUGGUCCCUAUCUACCAUAAGCUUUGGAAAAUUGAAAAAAUUAAACUCUAGUACGAGAGGACCGAGAAUAGUAAACCUAUGGUGUAUCGAUUGUUUUACCAAAAGCAUAGUCGAGUAGCUAAGUUUAUAAUAGAUAAUUACUAAUAUGUAAGAAGCUAAUUUUAAGAUAAUUUUCUAAAAAACGUAACAGAACAUUACGAGAUAGGUUUGAAGUGUAAGAUUUGUAAAAGUUUUAGCUAACAAAUACUAAAAAAUCGAACUUAAAAACAAAGUUUUUAAUAAAUA
rnacentral:rRNA from 1 species